rnacentral:tRNA from 1 species
GCCAGUGUAGCUCAAUUGGUAGAGCUCCCGCUUUGUAAGCGGACGGUUGCGGGUUCGAGUCCCAUCACUGGCU